UUCACAUUUUCUGUAUUUAUUUAUGCUUUGGGCUUAAAAGGGUCAGUGGCCUAAUUUAACAUUCGAUUUUUGUUUUUACACAGCAAAGACUUAUUGCAGGAAUACUGUAUGUUUGGCUCAAAGCUAGGUCCUGGAAACAAUCUGAAAAAAAUCCUCUACAUCCUGAGAUGUCUGCUGUCUAAAUCUUGGGGCUUGCAGAGUGGGUUCACUCUUCCGCUCUUCUGCCAUGUGAGGAUGCAGUAAGAUGACCCUCAGCAGAUGCUGGUGCCUUGAUCUUGGACUUCCCAGUCUCCAGAACUGGGAUGAAAUGCUGUGAUGGGUUGCACGCCCACAUCACCACUCUGCUGUCGGGAGAAGAGGAAGGCACGUUCCUCCCAAACACAGGGACUGAAAGCAGUUCUGAAGGCUGAAGUCCAAGACCAGGGUGGCAGCAUGGUCAGGUCCUGGCGAGGGCCAUUUUCCGAGUCUUUGCAGGUGCUUUAAAGUUAAGGAUCUCAAGAUGAGACCAUUCUGGAAUAUCCAGGUGGAUCCUAAAUCCAAUGACAAGUGUCCCUGUAAGAGACUGAAGAGGAGAGGACACGCUUCUCUGCCUCCGUGGGAGAAGAGGAGAAGGCCCGGCAAAGACGGAGGCAGAGGUUGGAACUCUGCAGUCACAAGCCAGGGAACAUGGAAGCCACCAGGAGCUGGAAGAGUCAAGGAAGUGUCCUCCCCUGAAGCCUCUAGAGGGAGCGAAGCCCUGUAGACAUUGGCUCAUUUUUGGUAUUUUCUUUCUUUCUUUUUUUUUUUUUUUUUGGUAAAGAUGGGGCUUCACCAGGCUGGUCUCGAACUCCUGAUUUCUGACUUCCAGUUCCCAAACCUGUGGGAGAACACAUUUAUGUUGUCUCUAGCCACCAAGUGCAUGGAAUUUGUUAUGACAGUUACAGGGAAGUAACACGGGAAUUUUAUUUUAAACCCUACAUUUGGCAAAAAAAAAAAAAAAAAAAAAUGG
rnacentral:lncRNA from 1 species